rnacentral:rRNA from 1 species
GGGUUGUGAGGUUAAGCGACUAAGCGUACACGGUGGAUGCCCUGGCAGUCAGAGGCGAUGAAGGACGUGCUAAUCUGCGAAAAGCGUCGGUAAGGUGAUAUGAACCGUUAUAGCCGGCGAUGUCCGAAUGGGGAAACCCAGUGCAAUUCGUUGCACUAUCGUUAACUGAAUACAUAGGUUAACGAGGCGAACCGGGGGAACUGAAACAUCUAAGUACCCCGAGGAAAAGAAAUCAACCGAGAUUCCCCCAGUAGCGGCGAGCGAACGGGGAGCAGCCCAGAGUCUGAAUCAGCUUGUGUGUUAGUGGAACGGUCUGGAAAGUCCGACGGUACAGGGUGAUAGUCCCGUACACCAAAAUGCACAGGUUGUGAACUCGAAGAGUAGGGCGGGACACGUGGUAUCCUGUCUGAAUAUGGGGGGACCAUCCUCCAAGGCUAAAUACUCCUGACUGACCGAUAGUGAACCAGUACCGUGAGGGAAAGGCGAAAAGAACCCCGGCGAGGGGAGUGAAAAAGAACCUGAAACCGUGUACGUACAAGCAGUGGGAGCACCUUCGGGUGUGACUGCGUACCUUUUGUAUAAUGGGUCAGCGACUUAUAUUCUGUAGCAAGGUUAACCGUAUAGGGGAGCCGCAGGGAAACCGAGUCUUAACUGGGCGUUAAGUUGCAGGGUAUAGACCCGAAACCCGGUGAUCUAGCCAUGGGCAGGUUGAAGGUUGGGUAACACUAACUGGAGGACCGAACCGACUAAUGUUGAAAAAUUAGCGGAUGACUUGUGGCUGGGGGUGAAAGGCCAAUCAAACCGGGAGAUAGCUGGUUCUCCCCGAAAGCUAUUUAGGUAGCGCCUCGUGAACUCAUCUUCGGGGGUAGAGCACUGUUUCGGCUAGGGGGUCAUCCCGACUUACCAACCCGAUGCAAACUACGAAUACCGAAGAAUGUUAUCACGGGAGACACACGGCGGGUGCUAACGUCCGUCGUGAAGAGGGAAACAACCCAGACCGCCAGCUAAGGUCCCAAAGUCAUGGUUAAGUGGGAAACGAUGUGGGAAGGCACAGACAGCCAGGAUGUUGGCUUAGAAGCAGCCAUCAUUUAAAGAAAGCGUAAUAGCUCACUGGUCGAGUCGGCCUGCGCGGAAGAUGUAACGGGGCUAAACCAUGCACCGAAGCUGCGGCAGCGACACGAUGUGUUGUUGGGUAGGGGAGCGUUCUGUAAGCCUGCGAAGGUGACCUGUGAGGGUUGCUGGAGGUAUCAGAAGUGCGAAUGCUGACAUAAGUAACGAUAAAGCGGGUGAAAAGCCCGCUCGCCGGAAGACCAAGGGUUCCUGUCCAACGUUAAUCGGGGCAGGGUGAGUCGACCCCUAAGGCGAGGCCGAAAGGCGUAGUCGAUGGGAAACAGGUUAAUAUUCCUGUACUUGGUGUUACUGCGAAGGGGGGACGGAGAAGGCUAUGUUAGCCGGGCGACGGUUGUCCCGGUUUAAGCAUGUAGGCUGGUUAUCCAGGCAAAUCCGGAUAAUCAAGGCUGAGGUGUGAUGACGAGGCACUACGGUGCUGAAGUAACAAAUGCCCUGCUUCCAGGAAAAGCCUCUAAGCAUCAGGUAACAUCAAAUCGUACCCCAAACCGACACAGGUGGUCAGGUAGAGAAUACCAAGGCGCUUGAGAGAACUCGGGUGAAGGAACUAGGCAAAAUGGUGCCGUAACUUCGGGAGAAGGCACGCUGGUGUGUAGGUGAAGUCCCUGCGGAUGGAGCUGAGACCAGUCGAAGAUACCAGCUGGCUGCAACUGUUUAUUAAAAACACAGCACUGUGCAAACACGAAAGUGGACGUAUACGGUGUGACGCCUGCCCGGUGCCGGAAGGUUAAUUGAUGGGGUUAUCCGUAAGGAGAAGCUCUUGAUCGAAGCCCCGGUAAACGGCGGCCGUAACUAUAACGGUCCUAAGGUAGCGAAAUUCCUUGUCGGGUAAGUUCCGACCUGCACGAAUGGCGUAAUGAUGGCCAGGCUGUCUCCACCCGAGACUCAGUGAAAUUGAACUCGCUGUGAAGAUGCAGUGUACCCGCGGCAAGACGGAAAGACCCCGUGAACCUUUACUAUAGCUUGACACUGAACAUUGAGCCUUGAUGUGUAGGAUAGGUGGGAGGCUUUGAAGCGUGGACGCCAGUCUGCGUGGAGCCAACCUUGAAAUACCACCCUUUAAUGUUUGAUGUUCUAACGUUGGCCCCUUACCGGGGUUGCGGACAGUGUCUGGUGGGUAGUUUGACUGGGGCGGUCUCCUCCCAAAGCGUAACGGAGGAGCACGAAGGUUAGCUAAUCCUGGUCGGACAUCAGGAGGUUAGUGCAAUGGCAUAAGCUAGCUUGACUGCGAGCGUGACGGCGCGAGCAGGUGCGAAAGCAGGUCAUAGUGAUCCGGUGGUUCUGAAUGGAAGGGCCAUCGCUCAACGGAUAAAAGGUACUCCGGGGAUAACAGGCUGAUACCGCCCAAGAGUUCAUAUCGACGGCGGUGUUUGGCACCUCGAUGUCGGCUCAUCACAUCCUGGGGCUGAAGUAGGUCCCAAGGGUAUGGCUGUUCGCCAUUUAAAGUGGUACGCGAGCUGGGUUUAGAACGUCGUGAGACAGUUCGGUCCCUAUCUGCCGUGGGCGCUGGAGAAUUGAGGGGGGCUGCUCCUAGUACGAGAGGACCGGAGUGGACGCAUCACUGGUGUUCGGGUUGUCAUGCCAAUGGCACUGCCCGGUAGCUAAAUGCGGAAGAGAUAAGUGCUGAAAGCAUCUAAGCACGAAACUUGCCCCGAGAUGAGUUCUCCCUGAGACUUUAAGUCUCCUGAAGGAACGUUAAAGACGAUGACGUUGAUAGGCCGGGUGUGUAAGCGCAGCGAUGCGUUGAGCUAACCGGUACUAAUGAACCGUGAGGCUUAACCUUACAACGCCGAAG